rnacentral:rRNA from 1 species
CAAGUCGAACGGAACCUUAGCAUUUUCGAGGUUUAGUGGCGAAAGGGUGAGUAACACGUGGGAAACCUGCCCUAGGGAUCGGGAUAACCUAUCGAAAGAUGGGCUAAUACCAAAUACGUUGCGCUUCUGAAAUGAAGUGCAGGAAAGUCGGGGAUUCGCAAGAACCUGACACCCUUGGAUGGGCCCGCGGCCUAUCAGCUAGUUGGUGAGGUAAUGGCUCACCAAGGCUAAGACGGGUAGCUGGUUUGAGAGAAUGGUCAGCCACACUGGGACUGAGACACUGCCCAGACACCUACGGGUGGCUGCAGUCGAGAAUCUUUCGCAAUGGGGGAAACCCUGACGAAGCGACGCCGCGUGCAGGAUGAAGGUCUUCGGAUUGUAAACUGCUGUCGGCUGGGAAGAAAAAGUUGCUUGUGAAUAAUGAGCGACCUUGACGGUACCAGCAAAGGAAGCCACGGCUAACUCUGUGCCAGCAGCCGCGGUAAUACAGAGGUGGCAAGCGUUGUUCGGAUUUACUGGGCGUAAAGGGUCCGUAGGCGGACCGGAAAGUUGAAUGUGAAAUCCCACAGCUUAACUGUGGAACUGCAUUCAAAACUUCCGGACUAGAGUGUGAGAGGGGUGAAGGGAAUUCCCGGUGUAAGGGUGAAAUCUGCAGAGAUCGGGAGGAACACCAGUCGCGAAGGCGCUUCACUGGCUCACUACUGACGCUCAGGGACGAAAGCUAGGGUAGCAAACGGGAUUAGAUACCCCGGUAGUCCUAGCCGUAAACUAUGGUCACUAGGUGUUGGGAGGGUUAAACCUUUCAGUGCCGACGCUCACGCAUUAAGUGACCCGCCUGGGGA